UACAUGCGAUAAAUCAUUCAAGUUUCUGCCCUAUCAGCUUUGGAUGGUAGUGUAUUGGACUACCAUGGCAGUCACGGGUAACGGAGAAUUAGGGUUCGAUUCCGGAGAGGGAGCCUGAGAAACGGCUACCACAUCUACGGAAGGCAGCAGGCGCGAAAAUUGCCCAAUCCUGACACGGGGAGGCAGUGACAAGAAAUAACAACUCUAGGUUUUCUUAGAAGUGUAAUGAGGAUAAUUUACAAACCUUACCGAAUGCAAUUGGAGGGCAAGUCUGGUGCCAGCAGCCGCGGUAAUUCCAGCUCCAAUAGCGUAUAUUAAAGUUGUUGCAGUUAAAAAGCUCGUAGUUGAAGUUCUGAUUGUUCGGGUUUCUAGACAUUAGUCGGAGAUACUGACAGUCAUCCGCUUGCAAACAUAUGUUCGACCUUAAUCAGUUGGCUAUGUGAGUAAGCAUUUUACCUUGAGAAAAACAGAGUGUUCCAGGCAGGUUUGUCCGGAAUGCAUUAGCAUGGAAUAAUAGAAUAUGACUGAAGUCUAUUUAUUGGUUACAGGCUUUAGUAAUGAUUAAUAGGAACAGUCGGGGGCAUUCGUACUCAGCAGUCAGAGGUGAAAUUCUAAGAUUUGCUGAAGACGAACUAAUGCGAAAGCAUUUGCCAAGGAUGUUUUCAUUAAUCAAGAACGAAAGUUAGGGGAUCAAAGACGAUCAGAUACCGUCCUAGUCUUAACUAUAAACCAUACCGACUCGGAUUCAGAUGAAUCAAAAUGUUCAUUUGGGACCGUAGGAGAAAUCAAAGUCUUUGGGUUCUGGGGGGAGUAUGGUCGCAAGGCUGAAACUUAAAGGAAUUGACGGUUUUGCACCACCAUGGAGUGGAGUUUGCGGCUUAAUUUGACAACACUGGGAAACUCAUCAGGGCAAGAAGAUUUUAGGAUUGACAGAUUGAGAGUUCUUUCUUGAUUGGUCUAGUGGUGGUGCAUGGCCGUUCUUAGUUGGUGGAGUGAUUUGUCUGGUUAAUUCCGUUAACGAACGAGACCUUAACCUGCUAACUAGUGUCUCCAUCUCAAAUGGAGAGCACUUCUUAGAGGGACUAUGUGAUGUAAUCACAUGGAAGUUUGAGGCAAUAACAGGUCUGUGAUGCCCUUAGAUGUCCUGAGCUGCACGCGUACUACAAUGGCACUUUCAACGAGUUUUUCCUGAUCCGAAAGGAUUUGGGUAAUCUUUUUAGUGAGUGCCGUGAUUGGGAUAGAUCUUUGUAAUUAUGGAUCUUGAACUAGGAAUUCCUAGUAAGCGCGAUUCAUCAAAUCGUGCUGAUUACGUCCCUGCAAAAUGUACACACCG
rnacentral:rRNA from 1 species